rnacentral:rRNA from 1 species
GGGGGGGGCAAGCGUUGUUCGGAAUUACUGGGCGCAAAGGGCUCGUAGGUGGCCAACUAAGUCAGACGUGAAAUCCCUCGGCUUAACCGGGGAACUGCGUCUGAUACUGGAUGGCUUGAGUUCGGGAGAGGGAUGCGGAAUUCCAGGUGUAGCGGUGAAAUGCGUAGAUAUCUGGAGGAACACCGGUGGCGAAGGCGGCAUCCUGGACCGACACUGACACUGAGGAGCGAAAGCCAGGGGAGCAAACGGGAUUAGAUACCCCGGUAGUCCUGGCCCUAAACGAUGAAUGCUUGGUGUGGCGGGUAUCGAUCCCUGCCGUGCCGAAGCUAACGCAUUAAGCAUUCCGCCUGGGGAGUACGGUCGCAAGGCUG